GAACGAGAAAGUGGAGCAAUCCAUGAGUAAAGUGGCGACCGGGUGAGUAACACGUGACUACCUACCCUCGAGUGGGGAAUAACUCCGGGAAACCGGGGCUAAUACCGCAUAACAUCGAGAGAUCAAAGCAGCAAUGCGCUUGAGGAGGGGGUCGCGCCUGAUUAGCUAGUUGGUGAGGUAACGGCUCACCAAGGCGACGAUCGGUAGCUGGUCUGAGAGGAUGACCAGCCUCACUGGGACUGAGACACGGCCCAGACUCCUACGGGAGGCAGCAGUGGGGAAUAUUGGACAAUGGGCGCAAGCCUGAUCCAGCCAUGCCGCGUGAGUGAUGAAGGCCCUAGGGUUGUAAAGCUCUUUCAGCGGGGAAGAUAAUGACGGUACCCGCAGAAGAAGCCCCGGCUAACUUCGUG
rnacentral:rRNA from 1 species